GAUUUUUAUCUAACAAAAAAUUAUGCCCGCGUUUAUUACCCGCGUCCUUCGUUUCAAUCAAUUUCCCAAACAUUAACCCCAAACCUCCAGAGACUCAAAGUUCAGAGUGAAGCUGCUGUUGCUUCUUCUUCUCCAACGCUUGAGAGUAGAGACCAGAGAGGAAGUCACCGUCACGGAGAGAGGCAGAGAGCAGAUCAGUAGAGCUUCUUCUUCUCCGACGAUUGAGAAAACCCGCCGUCUUUCGUCGGAGAGCAGAGCUUCUUCUUCUCCUCCUCCGCCGAGCCCGCUGUCGCGCCUGCCGCCGCGCCAUCCUGUUCAUAUAAGUUCCUCUCAGUCUCUCUGAUUAUUAUACUUAUUUUUGCAGUUGUUGUAUCUACUAUUUUCAUAAUGAAAUUUUGAAUUUGCAUUUGUUAAUAACAAUCGCAUCACUGAAACCUAGUUAGCAUAAUCAAUUCAUCACAUUUCAUCAAUCGCUUCAUCUCUCUGUGCCGUUGUUGCUGCUGCCUUCAAUUGACCGUGCUCAAUCAAAAUCAGUUACUCUCUCUCUUUCGUUCUUCAAUUGAUUUUUUUCAUCAAUAAAAAAUUUUCAGGGAAGAAUCAUAUCUUGCAUUUUUAGGUAACAAUAUUAGGCUUAUGACCUCUUUCCAUCGCAUUAUCACUCGAAUUGUGAGCUUAAUUUCUUUUAUUGAUAAUUUCUAUGGUGUAAAUAGUUGAUGCAUUACUAGUUUGUGAUGAAGAAAAUGCUCACAGUGUGUUGUGUCGUGUGAUGUGAUUGAAAGAGUUUAUAAACCUACUUUUGAUACUUACAAUGCUUUGAUGUCUGAAUGUUAUUUGAAACUGUAAUGUGAAUAAGGCAAGAAAAUUAUAUUGUAAAAGUGUUCAAGAGAGGUUGUUCCCUGAUGCUAGGAGUUAUAACUGAUAACUGAUUAGAUAUAUGCCAUUGGAGUUGGUGUUGAAGGAAACUGCAGUUAGUUAAUCCCUGUUAUGGUUUGUUCUGUCUUCUGUGAACAUUGAUGAAUGUUUUGGAAUGUGCUAAUGAUAGGGAACAAUGACGGCGCUUGUUGACUGCAACUGGUGCCACAAUGCCAUGUUGCUGUGGAAUUCAGUUAUAGCCUAUUGAUAUAAUUUAAGAUUCUGGUGUUUAUACACAUGUCAUUUGAAUUGUUUUUGUUAUAUUUUAGCUGCUAGAUUGCUUGCAGGUUGCAUUCUUUUCUAUUACAGGUACAUAAAGUUUCGGCUGAGGAAGGGUAAUACUGGUCUUAUUUCAAGGUAAGGGUUUAUCUUCAGGUUCAAUGAGUUCGUCCACUAAUGGAAAAACCUAAGAGUCAAAUCCAGUUGAGGGUGAAGUACAAUUGGAAUUUGGAAGGACCGAAUUGCCGAAGUUUACAUUCUUUAUCACCAUCUUUCUCUUGCUGAUUGUAUCCUUCUUGGUUGUGUUUAUAUUAAGGCUCUGGAAUCAUAUAAUAGCAUUAAAGCAAGAUGAGUUCCAUCUCAAAGUCUGCAUUUGACUUUCCUAUUGAAGAGGGUUAUACCUGCUAAUGAGAUUGUCAUCUAUUGAUGUCAUAAUAAAAGAUUAAAAGUACAAGCAUAUGUAUGAAAUGCUUAAAAAAUACACAUUAUUUGAUUGCAUUUGGAAGACUAUUAAGAUGGUAGGAGCUAGAGUCAAAUACUUUUGCUAAUGUAGUCGAAUGUCUAUAUAAUUUGUAUUAGCCGUACUAUGGUAGUUUUAGCCCCAUUUGUUUAGGCUGUGACUAAAAAGUUGUAACUUUAUGUUUCCAGAACUAACCUGCGUAUUAAUCCUUGGUUUAUUUCCUUGUGGUCCAUUUCUGCAACUUGAACUAACCUGUGUAUUAAUCCUUGGUUUAUAUUUUUCAGUGAUUUAGUUGUAGCUUCUCCUGUGGAGGAUUACUUUUUAUACAUUGAUGAUCAGAAAAAUCCUAAAAGGGAAGAAGCUGAGAAAAUUACACAACCAAUUUUAGAUGCUCUUGGUGAAGACUAAAGACUAUUCUGUUUGUUGCCAAGUAUUGAGAAGCAGCCCCCACAUCAAAAAAUUUAAAAAGCUGGAAUAAAUAUGGUUGUUUGAGACGGAGAUUGCGGCUGUGGCUGUGGCCGUGGCCGAGGCCGAGGCCGAAAGGGGAGGCCUAGGUUAUUUAGACUCGGAUGAUUCUGACGAUCUUGAUGACUCGGAUGAUUAUUUAGACGAGUAUGAGUAGGUUAUUUAAUUAUUUUACUUUGAAUAUUUUGUAUUAUUAGUGGAUUGCAAUUUAAACGAAUAUAAGUCUAAGUUUAGUUAUUUA